GGGAAUAUGUAGUCACCAUCCUCUCAAAUAGAGGCCGCUUUACAGCAGAAAGGGGCCUACUAUUACAGUUUUUUUCUGAAUGCUUAAGCGCUAAUCGUGAUUCUUGUAGCACAAUUUCUAAAACUAUUAAUACGUAUAGCAAAACCACUCACUGAGUUUGCAAAACUAAAAGCACAAACACUGCUUUGCACUCAGUUUGCAAUUUUGUAACACACACUUUGCAAAACUGUAGGCACAAUUCACUGCACAACACUCUUUUUGCAGAACUUUAAACACAACUCACUUCUUACACUCAAUUACCAAAUUUCCAACACACUCCUAGCAAAAUUAUACACAUGUAUGGCUAUCAUUAACACUAUUUUGCCAACUGUCUGGCACACUUUCACAUGUGAAAACUGUUUUAGAUAAUUAGUUAACUUUGCAGUCAGCCUAAGCACUAUAAAUAAGCCACAGGUAAGCUGUCUGUGUGGAGUACAAUGGAAGGAGCAGUAAGAGUGAGAAGAGUGAGAAUCAGAGGAGGCCAAGGAGGCCGAGGGAGAGGACGUGGAGGUGAAGAAGUUGGAGGAAGAGGACGUGGAGGUGAAGAAGCGAGAGGGUUAGAGGACGUUAGAGGAAGAGGACAAGGAGGAGCAAGAAGAGGACGAGGAGGGGAAAGAGGAAGAGUAAGAAAUAUAAUAACUGAUGACAUCAGAGCUACAAUAGUGGACCAUGUCAUCAACCAUGGGAUGACCCUGAGGGAAGCUGGCCAACGGGUUCAGCCUAAUUUGAGCCGCUACACUGUGGCAAGCAUCAUUAGGACAUUUCGAAAUGAGAAUCGAAUUGCUAGACGUCCAGAUGUUGGGGGCAGAGGAAGAAUGUUCACUCCAGAGCAAGAGACCCAUAUAGUGAACAUGGUGAUUGCCAAUAAUGCAAUAAGACUGCGCGAAAUACAGUAGCGCAUAAUUGAUAAUGACACCAUCUUUCAAAAUAUACACAGUGUAAGCAUUUCUGCACUAAGUCGUGUACUUGCGCACCACAGAAUAAGAAUGAAGCAAAUUUACAGAGUUCCUUUCGAGAGAAACACAGAACGUGUAAAGCAACUGCGAUAUGACUAUGUGCAGAGAGUGAUGGAACUAGAAGCAGAUGCCAUGGGACAUGAGCUACUUUUUGUAGAUGAGGCCGGUUUUAACCUCAGUAAAACCAGGAGACGUGGCAGGAACAUUAUUGGACACCGUGCCAUCAUCAAUGUCCCAGGACAACGUGGUGGUAACAUAACCAUGUGUGCAGCUAUAAGCCAAA